rnacentral:ncRNA from 1 species
AGGUGCAGACAUAGUAAGGAUUGACAGACUGAGAGCACUUUCUUGAUUCUAUGGGUGGUGGUGCAUGGUCGUUCUUAGUUGGUGGAGCGAUUUGUCUGGUUAAUUCCGUUAACGAACGAAACCUCAGCCUGCUAACUAGCUACACAGAGGUGAUCCUCUGUGGCUAGCUUCUUAGAGGGACUAUGGCCUUUUAGGCCACAGAAGUUUGAGGCAAUAACAGGUCUGUGAUGCCCUUAGAUGUUCU